rnacentral:rRNA from 1 species
ACCUCUUACUGAGGGAUAGCCCAGAGAAAUUUGGAUUAAUACCUCAUAAUACCAUAAGAUCGCCUGAUCACUUGGUUAAAGGGUACGGUAAGAGAUGAGCCUCCGGACUAUUAGUUUGUUGGUGAGGUAAUGGCUCACCAAGACUACGAUGGGUAUGGGGUCUGAGAGGAUUAUCCCCCACACUGGUACUGAGACACGAGCAGACUCCUACGGGAGGCAGCAGUGAGGAAUAUUGCGCAAUGGACGAAAGUCUGACGCAGCCAUGCCGCGUGAAGGAUGACGGCGCUACGCGUUGUAAACUUCUUUUAUAUACCAAGAAACCUUCGGACGUGUCCGAAGCUGACGGUAGUAUAUGAA